GACGUAGGGCGCGAGCGUUGUCCGGAUUUAUUGGGCGUAAAGAGCUCGUAGGCGGCUUGUCGCGUCGUCCGUGAAAACCCGCAGCUCAACUGCAGGCUUGCGGUCGAUACGGGCAGGCUAGAGUUCGGUAGGGGAGACUGGAAUUCCUGGUGUAGCGGUGAAAUGCGCAGAUAUCAGGAGGAACACCGGUGGCGAAGGCGGGUCUCUGGGCCGAUACUGACGCUGAGGUGCGAAAGCGUGGGGAGCGAACAGG
rnacentral:rRNA from 1 species